CGACUUUUGCUAGAAAAACUUAAAAAUCACAAUACAGAAAUUUACUUGAAGUUGUAUGUUUUAAAAUGUGAUAACAAAUUAUUCUUUAUCUCCUCUGACAUAGUUCAAUGUGUAAACUGUAAGAUAUACUAAUAAGAGCUUAUGAAUGCACAGUGCUAAAAUAUAAAGAGUAAAUUAUCAUGUGCUUUAUUUCACGAACUUAUGUAGCACUAAAUUUACACAUCCCUUGAAAAUCAAUAGAUAACUGGUCAUAUUUUGUGCAUUUAUGAUGAAACCCACAAAGUAGAAAAUAUACUUUUAUAUCAGAAUUCAACUGGAAAUAAGUAUAAAGGUAACUGCCCCUCAUUCUUGUAACAAACGAAAAAAUCUUCUAUCAUGUGUAGAAAUACUUAUACAAAAAUUGAACGCAGAUAAACAAACAUAAGUAACUUAAUCUCAAACCAAAUUGGGAUAGCACAAUUUGUAAUCAUCUAUUCAUAAAUGAUACUAGAGUAAUACUUCUGUAAUAGCACAAUUCAUUAACUAAUUCAUUACUCUUGAAGUUUAUAAUCGAAUCCCACACAAUGGCACAUUUAGCCGAUUCCCCUUUUACAAUCAAUCAUCAGUAGCUUAAUCUCAAACCAAAUUAGGAUCAACCGUAACAAUUUUGCAUUAUUUCUAUUUGGGCUUAUUCAUUCCAAUAUCAAAAUAAUUUUCCCCAAAUCAAUUGAAAAGGGGUUAAGAAUUUUGAUUCACAGUAUAUGGGAAGAUGGACAGAUUAUAGAUACUUGAGACGAACCCUAGUAGAGGCAACAGAACCCUAGUUUUUUUUUUAUUUGAAAAUUAGAAGAAAAUCCAGCAGAACCCUAGCUUUUUUUUAUUUGGGAAUUGGAAGAAAAAGUUUGUGUUUAAAGUUGGAAAGCUUCUAUUCUUUGUUUAUUAGAAAGAAACAUGUUAUGUUGAGAGGUAAGUGACGAAAAUGUUGUCGUUCAGUUGAUUUGUGAAAAAAUAUAUUUAAAAAACGAAAUAAAAACUGGUUUAAUGGAGAAUCGAACCGACACCUUUUUCCAGCGAACCCACAGUCCGUACUAUUGAACCCAAACUCUUUUGUUAGUGGGUUCAGCAUUAUAUAUUUAUAUAAAUAUAGUGAAUUUUUCAAUACAAAUACAAAGUUUCGAAAAAAAGUCA
rnacentral:lncRNA from 1 species